GUCCGGUGAGGCACAUGGACUUAACUGUGAUUAAAUUGUUAGGUUCCGUCGGAUAUAUGCACAAACUGCGCUUCGAAGGCACGACCCAAGAAAAAGUUGUAUGGGAAAAACUCUUGAAAAUAAAAAAGAAGCAUGGCCUCAACACUUCAUCUGCUGGAAUGAAUGCGUCAACGGUUGGUUAUCAAUCAACCUUUGAAUUCAUCUGACGAAGAAUUUCUGGCAGUCACUCCAUUGGCCUUGACUUUGUCUUCACCCGGAGGAACGCCUCUACUGGGUAAUCCUGCACAGCUGCAGCACUGCCAAAGGCUCACAACCGCAGUACGAUAUUAGCAGCUAGCGGCUAGCUUCAAAAAAUAAUUUUUAAUUUGGCUGUCAGGCUGGCUCUGACAAAAAAAGGAAUAAAUGAAUAGUGAAAAUUUGUACGGACUGCUAAAGUUUCUGGACAGACUCGACUCCUUUUGUCGCUCAAUACAAUACCCGUUCGGCUAAAGUUAUGCUCGCUGUUAUCACUUGCAGCGGGUAUUGUGAGGAUGCGUUUUGCCAGAGUGGCUAGUCUCGGAAACAGGGAAGCUCAACAGUGUUUCGGGUGUGUCGUCAUUCCUUCUACCGUAUUGCAAGUACAGCUCCGGCUCUGCCUACGGCCCUAGAAUACCACUGCUACUUUCAUCCUCUCACGACCCAAAUCGAUAUCUUUUGGAAUCUCAGCGGACUAAGAUCUUUGCUUUCACAGAGUGAGGCAGCAAACUGAAAAAGACUGACCGGUUCAAGUAGUUCACAGCGUUUCUUGCUACCAGGCAUGUCAUGAUCGAUGGAGCAUGGUCUCUCAAAAAAUUGCCAUCCAAUGCAUGCUUCAAAUCGAUGUCUAGAUAAUUGACCAUGCAGAAAAAAACUCCUUACAUUUGCAGAGAUUUCCGAUUGAUCCGAUGGAAAAUCAGUCGUAAAUAACACCAGCGAUUUGAGCUCAAACUUCUCCGUGAUGUAUUUGGCCGUAGUCGUGAGGUAUGCUGUUUCCGAAUACCAAUCCGACGACAGAUCAGCAUCGAAAGAACAGCAUUUAGCUCUCAAAGCCUCCCUCACUUCUGGCAACUGUUUCGCUCUGACCUUCUCUGCAACGACGCACACUUUCCUCGAAACUAUUGAUGGGUCCGGCAGCACACUUUCGAGGUCCACAUUCCCGAAUUACGCACCAACUUCGAUAAGCUUCUGCGCCAAAUUCCUAAAACCUGGUCCAUUAAGCACGCUAAAUGGACGCAGAUCCAAGGCUUCCCACUUCACGCAAGCGUCAAAAAAUCCUGUCUUUGACGUGCUGUGGUACGCUUUGGGCAGAAGCUUGGCCUCUCGGAAUACUCUCUUGUACCACUUUCGGGAUACUCUCCUGUUCCACUUCAGAAGCCACUUCCGGGAUACUCUCCUGUUCCUCUUCAGAAGCCGAAGACUCAGGAUCGGAGUCAGAAGCGCCUGACCUGUAUCUCUCGAAGUGUCAAUGCAGGUUCGAGGUACUGUUGCCUUUCGGGAAUCGGAAAAGGGAUCCGCAGUUCACGCACUGCACAAAGCCGACACACUCCCUUGUGGUGCUCAAACACACGUUCUUGAUAAACUCCAAGCUUCGCAUUAUCGGGCACCUUCCUUGUCGCAAAGGAUGUACUCGCCUGAGCGAACCCGGAUGCGAACGUAGCAGCGUUAACCGGUGCGUUUUCCAUAAUGGAAGAAUUUGGUUUUAUUGUAAGCUCAGUAGAAAGAGAGAUAGAUCAAAUGUAGACUCAACUACAAGGCUUCCCAUUUCACACGGUAUACUUUGGACAAAGAUUGGCCUUCCGUAGUUCUUUCCUGUUCCUGUAUUUUAAAUCCAGCUUCGCAACCAGAAGACGAGGAAUUAGAAGAAGAUUUGACAACGCCUGCCCUGCAACUUUCAAAGUGGCGAUUAAGGUUCGACGUGCUAUUGCCCUUUGGGAACCGGAAAAGAGAUUGACACUUUGCACACUGCACAAACCCAACACUCUCCCUUGUGCUGCUCAAACACACCUUCUUGAAAAUGCUCCAAGCUUCGGAUGAUCGGCACCUUGUUUAUCAUCGCAUACGAUGUAUUCUCCUGAGCGCACCCGAAUAGCACUAUCUACUGGUGUGUUUUCCAUUCUGGGUUGUCAUUCAGCAGUCGAGAAGAGCGUCGGAUAUCUUAGAUCCUGGAUAGGACCAAGGAAAUUGGGUGUGCCUCUCUUGGGCAUUUCGUUAAUUUACGAACGUUUGGACACAGUACAGCUCCAAUGUAGUGGUCUUCUCGGAGACAACAAUUAAUUCCAACAAAAUAGAAUAGUGUUGAACCAUUCAACCUCUGUUGCUCUCCCUUCUGGCCAAGAACAUCCUUAAUUUUUGAAAUUACAUCAACGACAUCAACUAGCAUAUCGACAUCUGCAUUCCAGCGGACUUCAAACUUUGCUUUCACAGUGUAAGGCAGCAAACUGAAAAAGCCUGACUAGUUCAAGUAGUUCACAGCGUUUCUUGCUACUUGCAGGCAUGUCAUGAUCGAUGGAGCAUGGUGUCUCAAAAAAUUUCCAUCCAAUGCAUGUUUCAAAAAGGUGUCCAGAUUAUUGGCCAUGCAGGACACAAGAUUCCGAUCGCCGAAUGCAUUGGCAAUGGAGUUUUUCAAUUGCAGCAUUUGACAAACUCCUAACAGCCGCGGUUUCGGAUUGGUCCGUUGGGAGGUCAGUCGUAAAUAGAACCAGCGACUUGAGCUCAAACUUCUCCGUGAUGUAUUUGGCCGUAGUCGUGAGGUAUGUUGUUUCCGAAUACCGAUCCGACCACAGAUCAGCAUCGAAAGCACAGCAUUUAGCUCUCAAAUCCUCCCUCACUUCUGGCAACUGUUUCGCUCUGACCUUCUCUGCAACGACGCACGCUUUCCUCGAAACUAUUGAUGGGUCCGGCAGCACACUUUCGAGGUCCACAUUCCUGAAUUCCGCAUCAACAUCGAUAAGCUUCUGCGCCAAAUUCCUAAAACCUGGUCUGUUAGGCACGCUAAAUGGACGCAGAUCUAAGGCUUCCCACUUUACGCAAGCGCCCGGUCCUUGACGUGCUGUGGAACGCUUUAAGCAAAUGCUUGGCCUUUCGGAAUACUCUCCUGUACCACUUUCGGGAUACUCUCCUGUUCCACUUCAGAAGCCACUUCCGGGAUACUCUCCUGUGCCACUUCAGAAGCCGAAGACUCAGGAUCGGAGUCAGAAACGCCUGCCCUGCAUCUCUCGAAGUGGCGAUUCAGGUUCGAAAAGGUAUUGCCCUUUGGGAACCGGAAAAGGGAUUCACAGUUCAUGCAGUACACAUACCCGACACUAUCCCUUGUGCUGCUCAAACACACGUUCUUGAAGGUACUCCAAGCUUCGCAUUAUCGGGCACCUUCCUUGUCGCAAAGUAUGUACUCGCCUGAGCGCACCCGUAUGCGAAUCGUAGCACUGUCAAUCGGUGUGUUUUCCAUUAUAGGAAGAUUUGGUUUGAUUGUAAGCUCAGUAGAAUGAGAGAUUGAUCAAAUGUAGACUCAGCUACAAGGCUUCUCAUUUCACACGGUACACUUCGGUUAAAGAUUGGCCUUCCGGAGUUCUUUCCUGUUCCUGUAUUUCAAAUCCAGCUUCGCAACCAGAAGACGAGGAAUAAGAAGCAGAACUGACAACCCUGCCCUGUAACUUUCAAAGUGGCGAUUAAGGUUCGACGUGCUAUUGCCCUUUGGGAACCGGAAAAGAGAUUGACACUUUGCACACUGCACAAACCCAACACUCUCGCUUGUGCUGCUCAAACACACCUUCUUGAAAAUGCUCCAAGCUUCGGAUGAUCGGCACCUUGCUUAUCAUCGCAUACGAUGUACUCUCCUGAGCGCACCUGAAUAGCACUAUCUACUGGUGUGUUUUCCAUUCUGGGUUGUCAUUCAGCAGUCGAGAAGAAUUCCCCAUUCCAUCACGAUGUAUUACAGAGCGGUGACCUGAUUCAAAAGCGCUUUUAAAAAUCAACAGAUAUGAGCACAAUUUCCGUCUUAGAAACAAUGGAACCAUGGUAUUGGAGCAAAAGAAACGAGUGGUUCCUAAGAUACUAGAGCUAGAAAAGUCUGUAAGUGCAACGAAGAUGGUUGAACUGAUGGGUAAUUGAGGAGGUGAACGAACCGGCUGUGCGAGUAUCCGAAAUGAUUAGAGAACUGAAGUUCUUACAGGAUACAUCUCAGAUCAUCAGUUCUUAUCUCCCAAAUGUUCUAAAUGAGAUGGAGCAUGGUCUCUCAAAUAAUUGCCAUCCAAUGCAUGCUUCAAAACGGUGUCCAGAUAAUAGGCCAUGCAGUACACAAGAUUCCGAUCGGCGAAUGCUAGGCAAUAUUUAAGCACUGGUCCGUUAUGUGAGUCACAUCAGCAAUGUCCUCUUGGGAAAUCUGGAGUUUUUCAAUUGUGGAAUUUGACAAACUCCUUACAUUCGCAGUGAUUUCGGAUUGAUCCGCUGGGAGGUCAGUCGUAAAUAGCACCAGCGAUUUGAGCUCGAACUCCUCCGUGAUGUAUUUGGCCGUAGUCGUGAGGUAUGCUGAUUCCGAAUACCGAUCCGACCACAGAUUAGCAUUGGAUUGUGGUGGAUGAGAGCUUACCCAAUGAAAUGUAAUUGAAAACUGAGAAAGCAAAAAAAAUAAAUAAAGGCGAUUAAAUAUUAUCUGAUUGAUUAAAUAUAAUUGUGUAAAAGUUUAAAUCAAUUACUUGUCGUUCUUUGUUGAUCGUGUAAAC